ensembl:lncRNA
GGAGGGAGCAGGCAGAAUAACAGGUUUUACUCCCUUCCUGUCUUUGUCCCUCUCUUUCCCUCUCUCUCCUCUUUGUCCAAGUCCCUCUCUUUCCUCUUUGUCCAAGUCCCUCUCUCUCCUCUUUGUCCAAGUCCCUCUCUCUCCCUCUCUCUCCUCUUUGUCCAAGUCCCUCUCUCUCCCUCUCUCUUCUCUUUGUCAAAGUCUAUCUCUCUCCUUCUCUCUCCCUGUCUCUCUCCUCUUUGUCCAAGUCCCUCUCUCUCCCUCUCUCUCGCCUCUUUGUCCAAGUCCCUGUCUCUCCCUCUCUCUCCUCUUUGUCCAAUUCCCUCUCUCUCCUCUUUGUCCAAGUCCCUCUCUCUCCCUGUCUCUCUCCUCUUUGUCCAAGUCCCUCUCUCUCCCUCUCUCUACUCUUUGUCCAAGUCCCUCUCUCUCCCUGUCUCUCUCCUCUUUGUCCAAUUCGCUCUCUCUCCCUCUCUCUACUCUUUGUCCAAGUCCCUCUCUCUCCCUCUCUCUCCUCUUUGUCCAAGUCCCUCUCUCUCCCUCUCUCUCCUCUUUGUCCAAAUCCCUGUCUCUCCCUCUCUCUCUCUCCUCUUUGUCCAAGUCCCUGUCUCUCCCUCUCUCUCCUCUUUGUCCAAGUCCCUCUGUCUGCCUCUCUCUCCUCUUUGUCCAAUUCCCUCUCUCUCCUCUUUGUCCAAGUCCCUCUCUCUCCCUCUCUCUCCUCUUUGUCCAAGUCCCUGUCUCUCCCUCUCUCUCUCCUCUUUGUCCAAGUCCCUCUCUCUCCCUCUCUCUCCUCUUUGUCAAAGUCCCUCUCUCUCCCUCUCUUCUCUUUGUCAAAGUCUAUCUCCCUCCCUCUCUCUCACUGUCUCUCUCCUCUUUGUCCAAGUCCCUCUCUCUCCCUCUCUCUCUCCUAUUUGUCCAAGUCCCUGUCUCUCCCUCACUCUCCUCUUUGUCCAAGUCCCUCUCUCUCCCUCUCUAUCCUCUUUGUCCAAGUCCCUCUCUCUCCCUCUCUCUUCUCUUUGUCAAAGUCUGUCUCUCUCCCUCUCUCUCCCUGUCUCUCUCCUCCUUGUCCAAGUUCUUCUCUCUCCCUCUCUCUCCUCUUUGUCCCCAUCCCUCUCUCUCCCUCUCUCUCCCGCUGUCUCCUCUUUGUCCACAUCCCUCUCUCUCCCUCUGUCUCCUCUUUGUCCCGGUCUCUCUCUCUCUCCCUCUGUCUCCUCUCUCUCCCUCUGUCUCCUCUCUUUCUCCCUCUGUCUCCUCUCUCUCCCUCUGUCUCCUCUCUUUCUCCCUCUGUCCCUCUCUCCGUCUGUCUCCUCUCUUUCUCCAUCUGUCCCUCUGUCCCUCUGUCUCCUCUCUUUCUCCCUCUGUCCCUCUGUCUCCUCUCUUUCUUCCUCUGUCCCUCUCUCCCUCUGUCUCCUCUCUUUCUCCAUCUGUCCCUCUCUUCCUCUGUCUCCCUCUCUCCCUCUCUCUCCUCUCUCUCCCUCUGUCUCCUCUCUUUCUCCAUCUGUCCCUCUCUAGCUCUGUCUCCUCUCUUUCUCCCUCUGUCCCUCUCUCCCUCUGUCUCCUCUCUUUCUGCCUCUGUCUCCUCUCUCUCCCUCUGUCUCCUCUCUUUCUCCCUCUGUCCCUCUGUCCCUCUGUCUCCUCUCUUUCUCCAUCUGUCCCUCUGUCCCUCUGUCUCCUCUCUUUCUCCAUCUGUCCCUCUGUCCCUCUGUCUCCUCUCUUUCUGCCUCUGUCUCCUCUCUCUCCCUCUGUCUCCUCUCUUUCUCCCUCUGUCCCUCUGUCCCUCUGUCUCCUCUCUUUCUCCAUCUGUCCCUCUGUCUCCUCUCUCUCCCUCUGUCUCUUCUCUUUCUCCAUCUGUCCCUCUGUCCCUCUGUCUCCUCUCUUUCUCCAUAUGUCCCUCUCUCCCUCUGUCUCCUCUCUUUCUCCCUCUGUCCCUCUCUCCCUCUCUUUCUCCAUCUGUCCCUCUCUCCCUCUGUCUCCUCUCUUUCUCCAUCUGUCACUCUCUCCCUCUGUCUCCUCUCUUUCUCCCUCUGUCCCUCUCUCCCUCUGUCUCCUCUCUUUCUCCAUCUGUCCCUCUGUCCCUCUGUCUCCUCUCUUUCUCCAUCUGUCCCUCUGUCUCCUCUCUCUCCCUCUGUCUCUUCUCUUUCUCCAUCUGUCCCUCUGUCCCUCUGUCUCCUCUCUUUCUCCCUCUGUCUCCUCUCUCUCCCUGUCUCCUCUCUCUCCCUCUGUCUCCUCUCUUUCUCCAUCUGUCCCUCUGGCCCUCUGUCUCCUCUCUUUCUCCAUCUGUCCCUCUGUCUCCUCUCUCUCCCUCUGUCCCUCUGUCUCCUCUCUCUCCCUCUGUCUCCUCUCUUUCUCCCUCUGUCCCUCUGUCCCUCUGUCUCCUCUCUUUCUCCUUCUGUCCCUCUGUCUCCUCUCUCUCCCUCUGUCUCCUCUCUUUCUCCCUCUGUCUCCUCUCUCUCUCCCUCUGUCUCCUCUCUUUCUUCAUCUGUCCCUCUGUCCCUCUGUCUCCUCUCUUUCUCCCUCUGUCCCUCUGUCCCUCUGCCUCCUCUCUUUCUCCCUCUGUCCCUCUGUCUCCUCUCUCUCUCCCUCUGUCUCCUCUGUCUCCUCUCUUUCUCCCGCUGUCCCUCUGUCCCUCUGUCUCCUCUCUUUCUCCAUCUGUCCCUCUGUCCCUCUGUCUCCUCUCUUUCUCCAUCCGUCCCUCUGUCUCCUCUCUCUCCCUCUGUCUCCUCUCUUUCUCCAUCUGUCCCUCUCUCCCUCUGUCUCCUCUCUUUCUCCCUCUGUCUCCUCUCUCUCCCUCUGUCUCCUCACUUUCUCCCUCUGUCCCUCUCUCCCUCUUUCUCCUCUCUUUCUCCAUCUGUCCCUCUGUCCCUCUGUCUCCUCUCUUUCUUCAUCUGUCCCUCUGUCUCCUCUCUCUCCCUCUGUCUCCUCUCUCUCCCUCUGUCCCUCUGUCUCCUCUCUCUCCCUCUGUCUCCUCUCUUUCUCCAUCUGUCACUCUCUCCCUCUGUCUCCUCUCUUUCUCCCUCUGUCCCUCUCUCCCUCUGUCUCCUCUCUUUCUCCAUCUGUCCCUCUGUCCCUCUGUCUCCACUCUUUCUCCAUCUGUCCCUCUGUCUCCUCUCUCUCCCUCUGUCUCUUCUCUUUCUCCAUCUGUCCCUCUGUCCCUCUGUCUCCUCUCUUUCUCCCUCUGUCUCCUCUCUCUCCCUCUGUCUCCUCUCUUUCUCCCUCUGUCUCCUCUCUCUCCCUGUCUCCUCUCUCUCCCUCUGUCUCCUCUCUUUCUCCAUCUGUCCCUCUGGCCCUCUGUCUCCUCUCUUUCUCCAUCUGUCCCUCUGUCUCCUCUCUCUCCCUCUGUCCCUCUGUCUCCUCUCUCUCCCUCUGUCUCCUCUCUUUCUCCCUCUGUCCCUCUGUCCCUCUGUCUCCUCUCUUUCUCCUUCUGUCCCUCUGUCUCCUCUCUCUCCCUCUGUCUCCUCUCUUUCUCCCUCUGUCUCCUCUCUCUCUCCCUCUGUCUCCUCUCUUUCUUCAUCUGUCCCUCUGUCCCUCUGUCUCCUCUCUUUCUCCCUCUGUCCCUCUGUCCCUCUGCCUCCUCUCUUUCUCCCUCUGUCCCUCUGUCUCCUCUCUCUCUCCCUCUGUCUCCUCUGUCUCCUCUCUUUCUCCCUCUGUCCCUCUGUCCCUCUGUCUCCUCUCUUUCUCCAUCUGUCCCUCUGUCCCUCUGUCUCCUCUCUUUCUCCAUCUGUCCCUCUGUCUCCUCUCUUUCUCCAUCUGUCCCUCUCUCCCUCUGUCUCCUCUCUUUCUCCCUCUGUCUCCUCUCUCUCCCUCUGUCUCCUCACUUUCUCCCUCUGUCCCUCUCUCCCUCUUUCUCCUCUCUUUCUCCAUCUGUCCCUCUGUCCCUCUGUCUCCUCUCUUUCUUCAUCUGUCCCUCUGUCUCCUCUCUCUCCCUCUGUCUCCUCUCUCUCCCUCUGUCCCUCUGUCUCCUCUCUCUCCCUCUGUAUCCUCUCUUUCUCCCUAUGUCCCUCUGUCCCUCUGUCUCCUCUCUUUCUCCAUCUGUCCCUCUCUCCCUCUGUCUCCUCUCUCUCCCUCUGUCUCCUGUCUUUCUCCAUCUGUCCCUCUCUCCCUCUGUCUCCUCUCUUUCUCCCUCUGUCCCUCUGUCUCCUCUCUUUCUCCAUCUGUCCCUCUGUCUCCUCUCUUUCUCCCUCUGUCCCUCUGUCUCCUCUCUCUCCCUCUGUCUCCUCUCUUUCUCCCUCUGUCUCCUCUAUCUCCCUCUGUCUCCUCUCUUUCUUCAUCUGUCCCUCUGUCCCUCUGUCUACUCUCUUUCUCCCUCUGUCCCUCUGUCCCUCUGCUUCCUCUCUUUCUCCCUCUGUCCCUCUGUCUCCUCUCUCUCUCCCUCUGUCUCCUCUGUUUCUCCAUCUGUCCCUCUGUCUCCUCUCUUUCUCCAUCUGUCCCUCUUUCUCCUCUCUUUCUCCAUCUGUCCCUCUGUCUCCUCUCUUUCUCCUCUCUUUCUCCCUCUGUCCCUCUGUCUCCUCUCUCUCCCUCUGUCUCCUCUAUUUCUCCAUCUGUCCCUCUGCCUCCUCUCUUUCUCCCUCUGUCUCCUCUCUCUCCCUCUGUCUCCUCUCUUUCUCCAUCUGUCCCUCUGUCUCCUCUCUUUCUCCCUCUGUCCCUCUUUCUCCUCUCUUUCUCCCUCUGUCUCCUCUCUCUCCCUCUGUCUCCUCUCUUUCUCCAUCUGUCCCUCUGUCCCUCUGUCUCCUCUCUUUCUCCCUCUGUCCCUCUGUCUCCUCUCUUUCUCCAUCUGUCCCUCUCUCCCUCUGGCUCCUCUCUUUCUCUAUCUGUCCCUCUGUCUCCUCUCUCUCCCUCUGUCUCCUCUAUUUCUCCAUCUGUCCCUCUGCCUCCUCUCUUUCUCCCUCUGUCUCCUCUCUCUCCCUCUGUAUCCUCUCUUUCUCCAUCUGUCCCUCUGUCCCUCUGUCUCCUCUCUUUCUCCCUCUGUCCCUCUGUCUCCUCUCUUUCUCCAUCUGUCCCUCUCUUCCUCUGGCUCCUCUCUUUCUCCCUCUGUCCCUCUGUCCCUCUGUCUCCUCUCUCUCCCUCUGUGUCCCUCUAUCUCCCUCUGUCUCCUCUUUGUCCCUGUCCCUCUCUCUCCCUCUGUCUCCUCUUUGUCCCCGUCCCUCUCUCUGCCUCUGUCUCCCUCUCUCUCCCUCUGUCUCCUUCCUUUCUCCUUCCAUCCCUCUCUGUAUCCUCUCUCUCUCUCUCUCUCCUUCUGUCUCCCUCUUGCUCCCUCUGUCUCCUCUUUCUCCUUUUGUCCCAUCCCUCUCUCUCCCUCUCUCUCCCUCUGUCUCCUCUUUGUCCCCGUCCCUCUCUCUCCCUCUGUCUCUUCUCUCUCCCUCUGUCUACUUUCUCCCUCUGUCCCUCUCUCUUCCUCUGUCUCCUCUCUUUCUCCGUCUGUCCCUCUCUCACCCUCUGUCUCCUCUCUUUCUCCAUCUGUCCCUCUCUCUUCCUCUGUCUCCUCUUUGUCCCCGUCCCUCGCUCUCUGUCUCCUCUUUGUCCCCAUCCCUCUCUCUCCCUCUGUCUCUCUCCCCCUUUCUCCCCUCUUUCUCCCUCUGUCUCCUCUCUCUCCCUCUCACUCCCUCUCUCUCUCUCUCCCUCUGUCUCCUCCUUGUCCCUGCCCAUCUCUCUCCCUCUGUCUUCUCUUUGUCCCCGUCCCUCUCUCUCCCUCUGUCUCUCUCCCCCUCUCUCCCCUCUUUCUCCCUCUGUCUCCUCUCUCUCCCCCCUCUCCCCUCUCUCCCCCUCUCUCCCAUCUUUCUCCCUCUGUCUCCUCUCU